rnacentral:lncRNA from 1 species
UUGAGGCCUUGUUUCAGAAAAUUUUUUAUUAGUCUAUUUUGAAGUUAAACUGGCCAGGUCUUGAUCAUAGGGCUUGUGUGGUUAUUUGUGAAGACUAAUGUUUCAAGUCUAAUUCAGUAUUUAGCAAUAGAUUAUAUGUAGGUAGCUGCUUUUGAACAUCACUUAAAAUUUGUAGAAUACCAUAGAACCCAGUGUCUUGCCUACUUGUGCUGUUAGUCAUAGGCAACAAAAAUUGGGAAAAAAAUUAUUAAAUAAUUUCCUUUGAAUAUUAUCUUUU